UUUGUCAGGGAUAUUUUCCUGAUUAUGAAUUCCACAGCCACCACAGGUAUAUGAUGAUUCUCUUCGUAGCUCGGAAAAAUGUAACAUCAAUAAUACUAAUUCCGAAGUCUCCGCGAGAGGUCUCAAGUCGCGUCUAUUUUUCCACUUCACGAGACAGUAGAUAAGCUCGUGGGUCGUCGGUUAAGUUGUUGGUACAGCGUUCUGCAUUCGUAUGGACGUUCUGUUGUUUUUGACUCGUGUUGUAAAUUACUGUUGUAAUACUUGUAAUACUAUAUGCAGUAUAGACGCUAAUAUAAAUAAGCGAAGAAAAAAAAGAAGCCUAAAACAUUUUUGACUUGUACGAGAUCGAUAAGAGUCUCACGGACUAAAAAUAACGAAAAGAAUAAUUAAGACAGGAAUAUUAAUGAACCAUGUGUUUUUCGUACGCUUGAUUGCUAAAUAUUAAGUGCUACUUUUACGUUUAGUUGUAACAAUUUCAGAUUUGAAACAGUGUACAGAGUGUAUUCGGAUGCUAUAACCUAUAAAUUCAAUACGCAUUAUCUUUUGCUCGCAUCAUUUUGGAUUUUUAAUGGUUUUGGAUAUAUUUCGUAUGGAGAAAUUGUUCCAGCUACCAUUUGAAAAGUAUAUUUUGGAGAAAUUUACGUACAAUGCCGUUACAUUUUAGAGAAAAAUGUUUCAGACAAAUGUUAAUUAGUUCAAAGGGGGACAUAAGAUGGUGUUAUUGGUUUGACCUUGAGUGAACUUGCCAAGGUCAUAUAAAGGCUGACUUGUUUUUUUUUAAACGGAACCCCCUAUUUUUCAUUAGAUAUUCUUAUAGCUUACCUCGAGAGCUUUACAAAACACUAUAAUAAAGUAUUUUUUCAUUAAGUACUUUUCGAGUUAUGAGGUUUGAAAGUUACAUUACCGCCGAUAUUCAAGCCUCAUAUUUAAAACAAUACUUAAUGAAAAGAUAUUUUAUUAUAGUAUUUUGGAAAGCUCUCGAAAUAAGCUAUAAGAAUAUGCAAUAAAAAAUAGGGACAGACUUUAUAGAAACCCCACGGGUGUGCAGUAUACAAGAAGGGUAGAAACUUAAAAUUUUUAAUAGGAUAUUUUUUAUUGUCCAUUUUGUAAGCAAUAAUAAAAUCUAUUUUCAAAUUCUGUCCUGAUAUUUUGAAACACUUGUCUGUGAAUGGAUCUACAUUAUCGAACAAUCCGUUGCCGAAGUAUAAUCAUGACAUUGCUGAUGUUCACAAACAUAAACACGAACAAAAAACAGUCUCAAUAGGAAGAUCAAUUUAGUUUCGCACGAGUUUGUAGCGAAUUAACAAGCACUGUACUUACCAGUUUAAGUAAGAGAAGUUAAUUUAUUUUGUUGCAAUUUUGUUAAAAAUUGUACUACAAUGGUUCAUACGUUGGCUGAAAAAAUUGAAAUGAUUUUUAUCUACGGAGCUGAGAACUGUUGUGUAGCAAGAACAGCUAUUACUUUCAAUAUUAGACAUCCUGAUAAAAAUGUCAGUCACACCUACGUCCAGCAAUUAGUAUUAAAAUUUGAAGAAACAGGAUCAGUAGCAAACAGAAAAUGAAACGUACAAAGAGUAGUGAAUGAAGCAACUGAACUUGAAGUGUUAGGCCAUUUUGCAAUAAAUUCAACAAUAUCUCUUCGUCAAGCUGCAGUUACAACAGGGAUUUUCCACUAAUCUGUACGUAAAGUCCUGAAACUAAAUAAAUUUCAUCCAUAUAAAAUUCUCCACGAACUACAUGAAGACGACUCUGAUAGAUGAAUUCAAUUUUGUAAGGAAAUGAUAGAAAGAAUUUAAAACACACCGCAAUUGCUAAAAAAUAUUUGUUUCAGCGACGAAUGUACGUUUUUCUUACUGACGUGGUUAAUAAACACAAGUGUCGGUAUUGGAGUGAUGAAAAUCCACACGUUUUCAGAAAAGGACAUACCCAACGGCCGCAAAAAAUUAAUGUUUGGGCUGGCAUUUUAGGGGACAGUAUCAUUGGGCCACUAUUUAUUGAAGAAAAUCUAAAUGGCAAUAUUUACCUAGAAUUGUUAGAAACUAUCAUUGAACUUCUCAUCAUUCAAGAAUUGGAAAACCAACAAGAUAUUGAAGGCAAUAUACAUUUGAAUGAAAACCUAAUUCAUUUCCAACAAGAUGGGGCUCCCCCACACUAUGUCUUGUCUGUCCGACAAUUCUUAAACAACAGAUUUCCUGAACAGCGGAUUGGAAGAAGAGGCCCGAUAGAAUGGCCCACAAAGUCUCCAGAUUUAUCUCCUUUGGAUUUCUUUCUUUGGGGCUAUCUAAAGUCAAAGAUUUAUAAAACACAGCCUACAACGAUUGUACAACUUAGACAACGGAUCGUCGAAGAAUGCAGAUCCAUUCCCAGACAAGUAUUUCAAAAUGUCAGGACAGAAUUUGAAAACAGACUUUAUUAUUAUUUACAAAAUAAUGGACACCAUUUUGAACAUUUGUAUUAAUAAAAAUGUAAUGUAAUAAAAUGGAUUUUUGUAUAAUUUGAAAAAAUUACCAAGUUUUCCUUGAAUGUCUCAAAAAACAUUGGACAAAUAAAAAAAUGUUUCAGACAAAAGUUGUUUGUUUUCUUGCGUAAAAUAAGAUGCCGUUAAAAAAAUUAUAGAUUCCCAUUUAGAAAAAUUAAGUUGACCUUGAAAACGUCCAUUAAAUUAAAAAUAAGUAAUGUUGUUAUAUUGCCCCCUCGAAACCAAACAACUUUUAUUGAAAACAUUUUUCUCUAAAACUGAAAACAAAAAAGAUAUUAAGGCUGAAAGUUUUCGAAUUGACAGCCUGUAUAAUACAAAUAGAAAUCUUGUUUUUUCCGAAAUGGCUAUUAAACGAUUUGUGUUACUUUGUGAAAACAUUUAUGGUUCAACUUUUUUAUCGUAUAAUAUAUAUGGACUUUUACAUUUAGUCGAAGAUGUAUUCCGAUUUGGUCCUUUAGAUAGUUACUCAGCAUUUCCAUACGAAAGCAGCAUAGUUCAUUUUAGAAAAAUGUGUAGAAAACCACAUCUUUCCUUGCAGCAAAUUGCUACAAGACGUGCAGAGCAAGAUCAGUGCAAACUAAAAUCGAUUGUACAGGGUAAUUACAUAAAAAUGUGGAAAAAAACACGCGAAAGGUCCAUUACUUCAUGCUGACAAUAAUUCUAGAACUUAUGACGAAUACAAAUUUAUAAAGUAUCAAGAUAUGACAAUUGGUGUUUGUGUACGCGACAAUUGUUGUAUUUUAUUAGACUCAAGUAUAUGUUGUGUAAAAAAUAUUUUAUAACAUGAAAAUAAUUAUUUUAUUGUCGUUAACAAGUUUUUGCAAGUAACAGAUUUGUAUAGUAUUAGCAUUACCUCAUCCUCAGUUGACAUUUACAAGUGUUCUGAAUUAGCUCAUGAUUAUGAUAUUAUUCUAGUAGAAAAUAUCAAGGCUAAAUGUUUUAGAAUGCCUUAUUGGACUUGUCUCUCUAACAAAAUAAGUGACGAAGUAAUGUUAGAUAACGUAGUAUAAUAAAAGAUGAAUUUGUUGUUGCAGUAAUCAAUAAUAAGAAACAAAAUAAUUUAUUAUUAAAUCUAAUAAUUUAUUAUUAAUGUAGUAAAUAAAUCCUUCAAUUUGCCAGUAAUGAUAUAUUGAAAUAAAGAUUUAUUGAUGACCAAGCUGGCAAUACAAAUGUAAAGGGCACAACGUUUCGGCCGACGGUUUCGGUCCUUCUCAAGUGCAAACAAAACAUGAAGUGUCAAAUUCUACAAUCAAAUGAAAUAUAAAGUCAAUAUAAAGACUAAAACAAAUAAUUAAAAAUAAUAUGGUUAACACUCACUACCAGAAUGAAACAUUUCCUGAACAAUUAAACUCAUGGAGAGACCAGAAUCGAACCAGUCAUCUCAGAGGACGAUCACACUGUGAACAUUACAAGAUCAAAAAUAAAGUCGCUAGUACAUAUAUCAAAUGCUCAUCAAAAUAGAAUCAUAAAUAUUUGGUAAAUUUUCAGUGUCCUUUUGCGAGUUCACCGCAAAAACAUGACGCUUUAUGAAAAACAUUUCAGCUAUUUCUCUCUUGCGUAAAUGCUUUUCAUGAUGUAAUAUUUUAAUAUAAUUCCAGUUAAAUUCGUGACAAUGAUCCAAUCUAUGUCUACUGACAACAGAAAGAUUAUCAUUAUUUUUACUAAUAUUAGCUUUGUGUUCCUUCAUACGCGUGUCAACAUGUCUUUUCGUUUGCCCUAUGUAACAGGCAUCACAAUUGUCACAAUCGAUCCUAUACACAACACAUUUAUUAUGUCCAUUUAACAAUGUAAUUGUAAUGGAUUAAUUUAAUAAAUGUAAAAUAAACUUUACAUUUAUUACUAUGAAAAAUAAUUAUCGAAAAUAAACAUUGUUUGCGUAAACAUUUUGUCACAUCACGUAUCCUCAUAUUAUUAUCAAAGAAGAUUUGUAACUCUCUGUAUAAUUCAUACUUUUCAGGAUGCAUGCAUUUUUACAUCUUUUCUAAACUCUUGUAAUGUUACAUGUACAUUGUGAAGACAUUUUGUCAUGGUAUAAAAAGAAAUAAAAAAAAAGUUUUUACGUUUAGAUUAUUCCUUAUUUUCAGAUCUAUAGAUUGUGCAAAAAGACCAUUAAAAAAGCCACACCGAUAUGAAACCACUUCAAGUGAUGAACAAGUAAAGACUAAGAAACAUAAGCGUAUUAAUGAAGAAAAAACAAAGAAAAAAGUUGCAACUACUUUGCAGGAUAUCCGCAAUACUAUGAAUAAUGAUAAUCUGCUAUAUAAUUCAAAUUCCAAUAAUUCAAAAUGUACGGUUACAAAGGCGCCCAUUAUGCACAAUCAAAUCUACCAAAAUACAUUUACUCCAUACACACAGACCGAAAAAA